rnacentral:tRNA from 1 species
GGGAAGGUGGCUCAGUGGUAGAGCACUUGCCUUGCAUGCAUGAGUCCCUGGGUUCCAUUCCA